AGCGAACGCUGGCGGCAGGCUUAACACAUGCAAGUCGAACGCCCCGCAAGGGGAGUGGCAGACGGGUGAGUAACACGUGGGAACGUACCCUUUGGUUCGGAAUAACUUGGGGAAACUCAAGCUAAUACCGGAUAAGCCCUUAUGGGGAAAGGUUUACUGCCGAAGGAUCGGCCCGCGUCUGAUUAGCUAGUUGGUGAGGUAAUGGCUCACCACGGCUGCUAUCAGUAGCUGGUCUGAGAGGAUGAUCAGCCACACUGGGACUGAGACACGGCCCAAACUCCGACGGGAGGCAGCAAUGGGGAAUAUUUGACAAUGGGGGCAACCCUGAGCCAGCCAUGCCGCGUGAGUGAUGAAUGCCUUAGGGUUGUAAAGCUCUUUUACCCGGGACGAUAAUGACUGUACCGGGAGAAUAAGCCCCGGCUAACUUCGUGCCAGCCGCCGCGGUAA
rnacentral:rRNA from 1 species